GAUGAACGCUGGCGGCGUGCCUAAUACAUGCAAGUCGAGCGAACGGACGAGAAGCUUGCUUUUCUGAUGUUAGCGGCGGACGGGUGAGUAACACGUGGAUAACCUACCUAUAAGACUGGGAUAACUUCGGGAAACCGGAGCUAAUACCGGAUAAUAUUUUGAACCGCAUGGUUCAAAAGUGAAAGACGGUCUUGCUGUCACUUAUAGAUGGAUCCGCGCUGCAUUAGCUAGUUGGUAAGGUAACGGCUUACCAAGGCAACGAUGCAUAGCCGACCUGAGAGGCGGAUCGGCCCAACUAGAAAUGGAACACGGUCGCGACUCCUAAGGGAGGCAGCAGUAGGGAAUCUUCCGCAAUGGGCGAAGGCCUGACGGAGCAACCCCGCGUGAGUGAUGAAGGUCUUCGGAUCGUAAAACUCUGAUAUUAGGGAAGAACAUAUGUGUAAGUAACUGUGAACAUCUUGACGGUACCUAAUCAAAAAGCCACGGCUAACUACGUG
rnacentral:rRNA from 1 species